rnacentral:lncRNA from 1 species
GCCUUUCUCUGGAAGGGUGUAUCUAGGACAUCAGCCUACCCACAGUUCUGGGCUGCGUCUGUUACUGCCUUGCUUACCCUGCCCCCCACCCAUAACUUCAGAGAAAGGAAAACGGACUGAGCCUCAGCACCCACACACCAUGGCUGCCUUGAAUCCAGAGUCAUCAAUACUGGAGUCUUAAAGAGAAAACCAAGAAAGUCUCAUGUCACCGAGCAGGCUGAAGAGGGCAAGUGAAACCCUGAGGCAGCCAAGAUCUCUGCUGGAAAUCCAAAACAUCAAUUCUAUGUAUUCAGGGAACAAUCUGCAGAACAUUGGGAGAUGAUGCAGUUAAAAUAUCGUCUUCAUAGAGAUGAGGUCAUGACUAUAAACACAAUCUUUUAAAGCAUGAAUGAAUAGUCUUCCUCUUGAAGGGCAGUUGCUUGCAAGGGGAUGUUACUGUCUUUGAGAGCUUCAAAUUUUUGGAAAUUCAAGUUGUGUAUAGAAGAAAAUAUCACUCCUUCUUAAACUG